UACGUAGGGUGCAAGCGUUGUCCGGAAUUAUUGGGCGUAAAGAGCUCGUAGGCGGUUUGUCGCGUCGAAUGUGAAAACCCGGGGCUCAACCCCGGGCCUGCAGUCGAUACGGGCAAACUAGAGUGCGGUAGGGGAGACUGGAAUUCCUGGUGUAGCGGUGAAAUGCGCAGAUAUCAGGAGGAACACCGGUGGCGAAGGCGGGUCUCUGGGCCGUAACUGACGCUGAGGAGCGAAAGCGUGGGGAGCGAACAGG
rnacentral:rRNA from 1 species